rfam:Cricetulus griseus cell line CHO-K1, whole genome shotgun sequence.
GUGGUACUCAAACUAUGGGAGCCCUUUUUGCUCUGGAAUAAAGUGUUGCCAGGUUUUGAGCGCUGC